CUGUCUCCAGCGUCGACUCAGUGAAAUUGAACUCUCCGUGAAGAUGCGGGGUACCCGCGGUCAGACGGAAAGACCCCGUGCACCUUUACUACAGCUUGACAGUGGUAUUAGCGAUUAUUUGUGUAGGAUAGGCGGGAGUCUAUGAAACCAGGGCGCCAGCUCUGGUGGAGACAUCCUUGAAAUACCGCCCUGAUAAUUGUUGGUAUCUAACCGCGGCCCAUGAACCUGGGUCCGGGACCCUGUCUGGUGGGUAGUUUGACUGGGGCGGUCGCCUCCCAAACAGUAACGGAGGCGCGCAAAGGUUCGCUCAGGCUGAUUGGAAACCAGCCGAAGAGUGUAAAGGCAGAAGCGAGCUUGACUGCGAGACUGACAGGUCGAGCAGGUGCGAAAGCAGGCCUUAGUGAUCCGGUGGUUCCGCAUGGAAGGGCCAUCGCUCAACGGAUAAAAGGUACUCCGGCAUAACAGGCUGAUCUCCCCCAAGAGUCCACAUCGACGGGGAGGUUUGGCACCU
rnacentral:rRNA from 1 species